GGGGCAUAUAGAACUUCCCAGGCUAGGGGUCAAAAUGGAGCUAUGGCUGCUGGCCUAUGCCACAGCCACAGCAAUGUGGGAUCUGAGCCAUGUCUGCAACCUACACCACAGCUUAACCCACUGAGUGAGGCCAGGGAUUGAACCUGCAUCCUCAUGGAUACUAGUCAGUUUCAUUUCUGCUGUGCCACAAUGGGAACUCCCAACAGACCCCUUUUCCAAAUGACAACCCACACAAGUCAGAGGUUAGCAAAUUGCAAGCCCAAGGUUCAAGACAGGUGUUUCUAGGUCCAGAGCCCUGCCCAGCAUUAAAAACAAAGGACAGUCUGACCCCAGGGAAUGUGUCAAACCCUCUGGCACUUGGGCCACCCAAGGAGACUAGAAAGGCCCAUCACACUUGAAGGCAUAGGUGUGUCCUGUGCCUGAGGUGAGGCAGUUGGUGGGAGGUUGGGGGAGUUAGAGUCGCUUGUAAACAACAUCACAACUCUAGGCAGAUCCAGUUAGUUCCAUCUUCAACCCAGUAUCUGAGUCUGGAGGUAUGGCCGGGGAGGGGCAGGUGGGAUCUGUACCUUCUUUCACAAUAAGGUGAACAAGCAAAUACCUUUAAGGGGUGGGUAUUUCUCUCUCCAGAUUAAAAAAAAAAAUGACUCACACUCUUCUCUAUCUACUACACCAGACAUAGUAAAAGAAGCAAACCCAAGCCAAACAGGUGACAAGAAUUAAAUGAAACAGCAUCCUGCUCUUCAUUUCUGUGUCUUGGCUUGAGGCUCCCUGAGCUGUCUGAAAGUGACCCAGAGAUGACAAGGUCCUUCCUAUCAGGGGCCAGAGGUCUCUCUCAGACUCUCCUGUGACUCUCCCUCCUCCUCCCUGCCCAUCACCACUACCCCAUGUCGUCCGGCUGAUCCCACUUCAGUUCAGCUCACCACCUGUAAAUACAUCUGGCUGCCUGAAUACAUGCAACCUAUUUCUCGCCAUCGUUCAUUUUCGUGGGUUACUUGUAGCAAGCCAUGGCUCAGUUAGGAAAAAGAUAGGAAACAUAGGGAGGAAUUUGAGACUUAGACCCAGGAAAGAGCACAUCCUGCACAGCCAAAAAUGCCGCUUCUACACCUCUCCAUUCAUGUCCUCAAGCACUGCUUUCCAGGUGCCACCCCCAACCAAAGCCCCAUUCUCUAAACCAGAUAUGCCCAAUGCUCAAGACAAGUACCUGUGGAUUCAGGGUUAUACUGCUGGAGAAA
rnacentral:lncRNA from 1 species